rnacentral:lncRNA from 1 species
AGAGAAAAGAGGUAGUGAGCUGGUGUUUCAGGAUGUGAGGGCCCGCAGGAGAAGACGGGCUCACUCUGCUGCCUGCCCACCAUCGUGCACUCUCUGGCCGGCUCUACCCACAGUCCCCAUGGUGGGCUGCCCCCACGGCGGGGACCCGUGAUCAGCAGCGGCAUGCCAGGGAAACCCAAGCACCUGGGUGUCCCCAACGGGCGCAUGACUCUUCCAGAUAUCCUUGCUAGGACCCUGAUGCAACCCAGGGGAAUGAGACCAGAGCAAAGAGGACACAGGCUUCUGGUCCAGGAUGUAAGUUGGACAACCUACUACUGGCCUCAUCUUGAGCUGCCUGCAUCUCAGAGUAGCAGGGAGACCUGCUAUGCUCCUGGCCCCGGUCCAUCUCCACUAUGUCCCAAGCCCCAUCUUAUUUGGCCUCUUCCCUCCCCUCCUCAUCCUGUACCCUGGGUGCACAAGGUCAGGUCAGGGGCUGCUUACUCUAGCUAGACCUGCUCUGGGGGGAUUCCUGCUAGAACUAGUGUUCUUUGGACAGCGUGGGAUGGGUCAGCAAAAUCAGGCCAGGUUGAACAGCUCCUGUUUAUUUCUCAGCCUCCAGGAAGAGCAGAGGUAGCUAAAUACUAGGGUGCUGUCACUUCACCCUCUACAGCCUCUCCCUGGCUGCUCAACUCCUGAGCCAAGCUGCCAUCGGAGGGUCUGGCUCAUCUCAUUCAUUUAGCAGAUGGGGCAGGGUCCUGGAUCACUUGGCAGCGGCCCUCUGAACAAGCUCAGGAAGGACAGAUAAUGUUCUGCUCCCCCCACUAGGUCCCAGUCUAGCACCAUGAGACAAGCCAGUAGAUUCAGAGAAACCUGGUCCCAGUCCCAACUGGGUUAUCCCUUACUAUUAGGCAUCCUCCUCUGUAAAAUGAGGAGAUUGGAAUGGAUCACAGUCUUAUUGAGAUGACUAAAUGGGAUGAUGAAUAAGAGGUCCUUGACCCCUUGUGAGGGCUGCACAAAUACCAGCCCAAUACUCCCUGCACUUUCAGCCCAUCUUCAAAGACCUCCUGCCUCACCAAGAAGCUGAGCCACCCCUGUCCCCACUCCUACCUCCAAUUCCCAAGACCUAUCUCCAUCUCUCCUUCCAGGACCCUUUUAUUGCCCAGCUCCAGGCUAGCAAGUCCUCCAAAGCCACCUCAUCAAAGCCCCCCAUCUCACUGUCUGUACCACCAACCUAACUUUGAAAGUUAAGAAGAACUCCUGUG